AAUAUCCACAUUAUUCUAGACAACUUUUUAACUUUAACUUUUAACUUUAAAAUUUAUUCUAUUUUAUUUAUCAUGUUAACUUAAUGUCUGGAGUUCGACGCCAUCGGUAAACUACAUAAAAGGACGGUGCUACUUCCGGCUAUCUGACACCCACUGAAGAUGACAUGUUGAUUGUCCGGCUCCAGUGCUGUCUCUUGAAUAGGUGGACCUGAAUAUACAAAUUUGGACUAAGCCGAGUCCUCUGCCAUUACUCUUUCGUACACUUGUUAAAUUCAACCCGCUGCUUGGAUUUGACAGUGUUUCAGCAUGUUCACUCAUGCGACAUACAUGGGAAGUAAUUCAAUAGAGCUCUGUGUACAAGAAAUACGGAAUAAAUGAAGGAAUUAUUUAUACGGAAAAUGAAUAAAUAAAGGACUUAACAGGUUCACAGAUAUGUAUUCUAGAUAGCCAAGCAGCACAGAAGGCCUUAAAAUUCCACUUGGAAUUGAUCCACCUUCAAUUCCAGCUUGUCUGGGAAUAUCUAAGAUAUCUCAACUCCUGGGAAAACGAAACACGGCAAGAAUUGAGGAAAAUUGUAGCCCUUUACACGGUCAUUGCCCAUUUAAUCAUAACUUUAAAAAAAUGGAAAAACUAAGACAGAAAUCUGCCAACUUUGUCAUGAGAAAGCAGAUACAUCGUAACAUACCCUAUGUGAGGCAAGGCAUUAGCCCGGAAAAGGCACAGUCUCUUCGGAAAUGCGAUGCCUAAAGAAUCGAAGAGGACUCAACUUCCUUACAAUUAGUGCACUUUCCGAGGUAUCGAAAGCGUGAAGAUAAUUAUUCCAAACGGGACGAGUGCGAGAGACAACACGCGGGCAUCCAUUAACAGCGAAAUGCCUACACGCGUCUAACAUCGUACAUGUACACAACGAGAAAUUCCACUAGUCUAUUUACCGAAUUCCUUUUGUUUCUUUGGUUUCUUUUUUGAUUCGGUUAUAAAUAAAGAUCAUUUACUUUCAAGAUUAGUAGACGGGUGAUGAAAAGGGCGUUUACAAACAGUUCAUGGCGAAGGUCAAACAGACAAACACAUCCUAAAGAACCGAAAGUUUAAAACGUCAAUUUUGUCAACUACUAUUUACAAAUUAAGAAAUUAAUUGCAAAUAUCGACAGAAAAUGGUCUACUUGAAUAGAAUUGAAUACGAACUUCAUAAAUGAUGUGACAAACUUGAUGCUCUUGGGUCUGACCUCCCACCUGCAAACAAAGGAGUUUGAUGCGAGAUAUUUUCUGCUUCUGACCUUCUGGGCAAAGAAGAAAAAUGGAAGAAAUAAACUGCAAUUUUGUGUAUUUUUUCCAUUAAAGUCUUUUCUAAUGAUGGCGUUAUGAAAUGGUCUGAAAAAUGGUGGAAAGAAAUCAGCCAAAAAUGAAUUGCAAUCGUCGACAAAAUCGAAUCCUUUGGUUAGCCUAAAUUUUCAUAACUCGCGAGGAAUUUAUUCUGUGUUAUAAUCAACAUGGAAUAUUCCGAGCGUUUGCCGAAUUUAUUCAUAAAUCGGGCAAAAGCUCCAGAAAGUGAAUUAACGCAAUUACGGCGGAUGAGCGAAGCCAGGCUGACUAAUUAGCCAGGGAUUUCGGUGAGCAACAUCUAUGAGAUGAUGCAGACGAUUAGGAUUAGCCCUCUCGAAGCUAAUCUCGGAAACAGAUUCUAAUUUUCCAGACGGGUUGCAAAACGUUUUCUAAAGUAUAACUAAAAACAAACGGGUCAACCUGUUAAAUAGGAAACGCGGUGUGU